ensembl:lncRNA
CGAUGCCACCAGCAGGGAUCGGCCCUCCCAGCCUCUUGGCUUGGCUGCCUGCCCUCUGUGCUGCUGUCCUGCUCAGGGGGAGCUCUCCACUGCCACUCCCGGGCUGGCCUCAGCACCCAUCAGCAGCCCAACAGAAAAAGAACUUCUCUUCCCCAGGAUUCCAGCCCUAGCUGCUCCCCGUUUCCCAGGUGGGAGAUGGGGUGCCUGGCCGGGCCAAGGUGGGACCGGCUCUGAGUUCACAUCAGCCCCGCCGUCGGUUCCCCUUCAGAGAACCCAGCAGAGAUGGGCUAAAACUCAAGGCCCACAUCCCCAGGGCCCUGGGUCCUUAGUGACACUCAUAGGUAAAGGCUUGUUUCUGUGACCUCUGACCGCUUCAGCUAUAGAGCCAAAUGGAAUUAGCAAAUUGUUCAAGUCCAGAUGGGCUCCCGCUGGGCUCCCACUAAAGUCAUGCUGAUCCCAGGACCUUGAAGUCCUUUUACAGAGGAACUAGCGUCCAGACAAUAUCCAGAAACCGAGGCUGCCCAGGCCCAGCUCCUCGGCUCCCUGACGUCAGAGUGCACCUUCCCCCGUGGAGACAAACAGCCGAGGACGCUCAUCUGAGAAACCCUCUGUCUCCUCGGCUGGAAGCAGCCCCAGACCAGGCCCAUGGGAAAACACUGAUCAGGAAGGCCACGGCACCCUCCCCUACCUAAAGCCCCAAAUCAAAAGCCCCACCCGUUUCUUAACGAGGAGCUAGCAAGUUGGUGGGCCCUGGCUCUUGCUUUGCUGCCCCUGCCUGGUGAAGGAAAGCUUUCCCAAAGGGGAAGUUUCCCAAAGUUUGUUAGCACUAGGCAGUUCCUUCCAUGUUCAUCUCAGGAGGAAAAAUCUCAAAAUGCCAGCAAGUUGGCUUCAAGGGGCCUUUCCAGGAAACCCUUCGAGGUUUUUCCUGCCUCCUGAAGAUGAUGAGACUUUAGGGUCCCCAGGGCGGCCUUGGCCUGCAGUGCUGGGAUGGUCCUACAUGGUCUUGGGUUCAGAGAGAGCCCCCUGAGAGCCGGGCAGGGGUCAGUCCCGGGGCCCAGAUGGGGACACUGAGCCCAGGAUGUUGAGGCCUCUGGAGGAGUUCUCCCAGCAGCUGGUUAGAAAUGAGCUUCUCGAGCUCCGCUCCACACCUCCUGCAUCAAAAUCUGAAUAUGAAUCAGACCCCACAUGACCCACGUGCACCACUAGUCUAAAGGACCCAUCUCUGAGCCCUCACAGUCAGGAACGAUGGGACUUCCGUUAGAUCUUGGGUUCAGACUUUCUGGAACGCAGGAUGGCAGUGUGUAUGAAGGAGGCUUAACAAUAUUCAUGUUCUUCGAUCCAGUAUUUCCACUCCUGAGACUGUUGCUUACGAGAUCAUCAGAGGCAGGGACAAAGGAUGCUGCGCACAGAGACGUUCACUGCAGUGUUACUUCUACUCAGAAACUGCGGCAUGUUCACAGACAGUAAAGGGUGAAGUCAAGUACGGCACGGUAUACAUCGACUGUUACGUGACGAUUUAAAAUGCCUUUUUAAAAGAACUUGCAGGGAAUGGCGGGGAGUAAGUCAUAAACAAGACAGACACCCUGCCUGCCCCUGGGAGCUGACAUUCUCCUGGGGAAGACAGACAAUGAGCGAGUGGACAGAUGAGAUGGUCUCAGAUGGUGACAAGGACGCAGAGGGAAGAGUGGGAUAAUGUGGUAGAGGAUCAAGGGGAGUUGGGGAGGGCUAUUGAGGUGGGGGACACGGGGAGAGCCUGUCCUAGGAGCUGGCAUUCAAAGUGAGAUCCAACGGAUGAGGGAGCCAGUGAAACGAGCAGCCCGGAGAAGACCUUCCGGGCAGGAGGAACAGGACUGACAAGAUGCUGGAGCUGGGGAGCUUGGCGGUGUGAGGGAUGCGAUGGAGGAUGUGAGACUGGAGCAGGAGAAGCCGGGAGAAGCUGGAAGCUGAGGAAGCUGGAGAAGCGAGCAGGGCCAGACCCCUCGGGUCUCGUAGGCUGUGGGUGGACUUUGGGUUUGUUCUGAGGGCUGGAGAUGGGGUACAUGCCACCAUGAACAAACACGGUAAAGCUCUAGUAGCUGACCCUGAGGAAAUGGAGCUCUGCAGAUUGCCCGACAGCAAAUUCUACGCAGACAUCUUAAAGAAGCUCAGUGAGGCAUGAGAGAAUACAGACAGACAACUAAACACACACCUUCUGAGCUAAAGAGUACAACGACUGCACUAAAAAAUUCAGUGGAGGGCUUCAGCAUCAGACUUGAACAAGCAGAAGAAAGAAUCAAGGAACUCAAGGACAGGUUAUUUGAAGUUAUCUAGUCAGAGGAGCAAAAAGAAAAAGGAAGGGAAAGAAUGAAGAAAGACCGUAAGACUUGCGGGACAUCCUAAAGGAAACCAAUAUAAGAGAAUGGGUGUUUCAGAAGGAGAAGAGAAAGUGAAAGGAGCAGAAAGUGUACUUCAAGACAUAAUAGCUGAAAACUUUACAAAUCUGGGGAGAGAAAUGGACAUUCAGGUUCAUGAAGCCCAAAAGACCCCAAAUAAGUUAAACACAAACAGGGUCCACACCGAGACACGUUCCUUAAAUUGUCCAAAGUCAAAGACAAACAAAGCCUUUUGAAAACAGCAAGAGAAGAGUGACUCAUCACAUCCAAGGGACCCCAGGAGAUGAUCAGCAUAGUUUUCGAGAGAAACCUGGAAAGUCAGGAGAGAGUAAGAUGAUAUGUUUAAGGUGCUAAAGGAAAAAAUACCCACCAACCGAGGAUGCGGUCCUUGGCAACACUGUCCUUUACAAACGAAGGAGAGAGAAAGGCUUUUCCAGAAAAGCAAAAACUGAGGGGCUUUGUUACCCCUAGACCUGCCUAAGAGAAGUACUUCCAGUUGAAAGGAAAGAAGACUACACACAACACAAAAGCUUAUGAAAGUAUAAAUCUUAUUGGUAAAGGUAAUAUAUAGACAAGUACGAAACCAAGUAAUACUGUAAUGGUGGCGCAUGAAAUGCUUUUAACCCUGGUCUAAAAGUUAAAAGACAAAAAUAUUAAGAAUAACUAUAACUACAAAGAUCUGGUAAUGGAAACACCAUAGAAAAGAUGUGAAUUGUGACAUCAAUAACAUGCAAUGUGUGCCCACGACCAGGUGUCUUCACAAGGGAAUUCUACCAAACAUUUAUAGAGGAACUGACACCAAUCCUUCUUAAACUCUUCAAAAACGUUGAAGAAGGAAGACUGCGAGCUCCUUUGUGAGGCCAGCCUUGCCGUGACACCAAGGCCACACAAAAAGUUAAAAGUAGAGCUACCAAAGGAUCCAGCAAUCCCACUGUGGGUACGCACCCAAUGGAAUUGAAAUCAGGAUCUCAAAGAGACGUCUACACUCCCAUGUUCACGGCAGCGUUAUCACGAGAGCCAAGGCAUGGAAGCAAGCUGAAUGUGUAUCAAGUGAUGAGUGGAUGAAGAGAAUGGGGCUUACACACACAAUGGAAUGUUAUUCGGCCUUGAAAAAGAGGGGAAGCCUGACAUUCGUCACAACUUGGGUGAAUCUGGGGGACGUUAUGCUCGAUGAAACAAGUCAGACGUGGAAGGGCAGAUACCAGAAAACCACUUCCACGAAGAAUCAAAUAGUCAAACGCACAAAGAAGAGAGCAGACGGUGGGUGCCAGAGGCUGAGGAAAGGGCAAGCGGAGAGGUCUCAGUCGAAGGGCACGGAGCCUCCGCGUCUCAAGGUGAGUGCGUUCCAGAGCCCUACCGUGCAGCACUGUGCCUCUGGGUCAUAGUGCUGGGCUGUGUACUUACGACUCUGCUCAGAGGGCCCGUCUCAUGUUAGGUAUUCUUAUCACACACACACUCACAAAACAAUGACUAACAAGGUGGAGGGAACUUUUGGAGGUGAUGGAUGUGUCUAUGGCACAGAUGGUGGUGCUGGUUUCACCGAUGUAUGCUCGUCUCCAAAGUCAUCACAUUGUAUGUGUUAAAUAUAUACAGCUUCUGUUUGUCAAUUACACCUCAAGAAUGUGGUUUAAAAAACAGUAAGAGUGGGUGGAGAGGAAACUGCCUUGGUCUAGAAGCUGCUGCAGGCCUCGUGGACGAGGCGAUUGGGCCACUUUGACAAUCCGUGUCAAGUGAGCAAAGCUCACACAGAGUGCUAGAAACCGUCAUUUUGACUGUAUAAAAAAAUGGACAGAACCCAAAGUCCGGGAGGAAACAUGCAAAUUAUCACAGUGAUGACCUCCGGGCGGUGGGAUUACGUACGAUUUUCACUUGUUUUUCUUAAGCGUUCCUGUAUUUUUUUCACACAAGACAAACAAUAGAGGUGAUUUCAAAAUCUGAACGUGGGCCAGUCUCACUGAUUAGUUGCAGACGACAGAACACUCUUUCUGGUUUGAGCUGAGGAGAAUCUGUCCAUGGGUGCUAGGACUGAGAAGCCAGGACCAGCAGGGGACCAAGCUUGGAUGCCCCAUGGCCAGGGACAACACUAACAAUGACCUGGACAAUCACUCUCCCCGCCCAACUGUUGCCAUGGAAACCCACCGCCUGUGAUACUCAGGCCCAGACCCUGGAGCGUGCUGCUGUGGGACAACCAGACCCCCUGUUCCCUGCCCACCAGGAGCCCCAUCCUCCACCACCUUGGGUGGCUCACUUCCACCUUUUAAAUCUCGGGCAGGCAUCUGUCCAGAGGAGCUGAGGCCACUGGCAGAUCCCUGGCUGCAAGGGAGUCACGGAGAUGUCGAUGGCAGUUUUUCCAGAGACUCCCAUGGGGCCAAGCACAGAAGGAGGGGCUGGCACACUGGUGGAAUGAGUCAGCCUGCAGGGUCCACCAGAGGUGUGAAAUAAGAGUGACAGAAAUGAUCACUUGCACCCUUGACCUUCUCGAGGCCACGGGAAGGCUCAGCUAUCCACUGUGUUACAAGGAGGAGAGCGAGUGGCUCUCUCUUGGUCCCGGGAGCACUGGCUCUCAGAGCGCCUCACCCUAGCUUCCACAGUGCAUACUGUCCUGGCUUCCAGCUGCCAGCUCUGUCUGGCUGGGACUUUCCUUACCGCUGGAGACUCCUUGGCCCCCUGGGUGACAGGCUCAAAUGUGGAAACUGCUGUCCCCCAGGAGCACCUUCAGCCGGUACCCCAGCUGCCUCACCCCUUGAGUGGGAGAGCCCUGAGCGGCCUGCUCUGCCCCGGCUGCCAGGGCUCCCUGGUGGGCCGAGCUCCUGUUGCCCACGGUGGUGGGUGUCCAGAGUGGGGCCCCACAGUGCUGGGCAGCCCAUAGGAGCCAUUAUUAGCCCCCGCCUCUUCCCUCUCUCACUUCCCAACCCCCCUGCCUCCACCACCCAGAUAAACUCCUGCUCCAGAGUCCUCCUCUCCAGGUCUGCGUCUGGCGCCGCACAAGCUGAGGCCUCCGUGGCCUAAGCAUGCGCACGUGGAAAGCCUCGUCCCGGCUCUGGAGUCCUGCUGGGACAGUCCCUGGGCCGUGAGUCAACAGGUGUGAGGCUGCUUCUGUGACCUCACACCUGCUCACUCCAGUUUGGAAGGUUGUCCCGUUCCUGGUUCUCAUCCUUGUGGGCAGGAACCCAGAGGGCUCCAGGACGCUCUCAGCUGCCCGAUGCGCCCCCAUGCUGAGGCCAGGACCACGUGUGCACACAGGUGUCAUCCACCCCAGGGUUCCACCCGGCCGUCUCUGCCUCUUCUCCCCAUGUCAUUCAGUGCUCCAUCGGCCCUGCGACUGGUGAUGAAUCUCCAUGGGAUUCAAGGGCAUCCUCUGAAUGUGCCACCCUUGGCGUAAACGGGACUCUGCCGUGGGUCGCUGUUAGUGUGUGAGGUUGGGGCCAGCUUUGUCCUGGGUUCACAGAGCCAACUGUCCCCUGGAGCCUGCUCUGCUGGGCGCACGAGGAUGCUGGCUCUGGCGCAUGGGGACGCAUCCUCUACUACAGAUGUCAGCUGCCCUCCUUCACUGCAGGUCUGCCCCUGAGCAGUGGCUUGCCGCCUAGCGGCAGGGAGCUCACAUUCUCAUGUG